rnacentral:rRNA from 1 species
GUCUACAGCCAUGUCACCCUGAACAAGCCCGAUCCCAUCUGAUCUCAGAAGCUAAGCAGGGUCGGGCCUGGUUAGUACUUGGAUGGGAGACCACCUAGGAAGACCAGGUGCUGUAGGCA